UGAAAAUAGAACAGUCAGAAAUGUUGUGGCUUUUCACCCAUCUUUACUAUAUUAAGUGUUGUACAUUGCAAGUGAAAGUUCUGAAAGGGCUACUUUUGUCCCAGAAAGUAUGGCAAAUGAGGUUAUGGAGCGAGAAGUGUUGCUUAUUCAUCGUUGUAAUGUGAAAGCUGACUUGCUGCACUAUUUUGAAAAAGGCACUUUUCGUCCGUACGUAUUUACAAGCUUAUAAUGAAACGAAUGAAAUCACGUUAGACGAGAUUGAAAAAGUUAUUGACGAAGCUGACAGAUUGUCUCUUCUUUCUCAUUUCUUUUGGGCGAUGUUUUCAAUUCUUCAAAGUUAUAAAUCCUCGAUCAAUUUUGGUUAUCACGCUAAAGAAAACCCAGCUGUACACCA